rnacentral:rRNA from 1 species
CCAGCCCGCUCAGAAACUCAAGGAAGUUCGACGGGGCCGCGACAAGCGGUGGAGCAUGUGGUUAAUUCGAUGAUACGCGAGGAACCUUACCUGGGCUCAAAUGUAUGUUGACGUAUUCUGAAAGGGAUACUUCUUCGGACAAUAUACAAGGUGCUGCAUGGUUGUCGUCAGCUCGUGCCGUGAGGUGUCGGGUUAAGUCCCAUAACGAGCGCAACCCCUAUCAUUAGUUGCCAUCAGGUCAAGCUGGGGACUCUAAUGAAACUGCCUACGCAAGUAGUGAGGAAGGUGGGGAUGACGUCAAGUCAUCAUGGCCCUUACGGCCUGGGCUACACACGUGCUACAAUGGUCGGUACAAAGGGUUGCCAAGCCGCGAGGUGGAGCUAAUCCCAUAAAACCGAUCGUAGUCCGGAUCGCAGUCUGCAACUCGACUGCGUGAAGUCGGAAUCGCUAGUAAUCGUGAAAUCAGAAUGUCACGGUGAAUACGUUCCCGGGCCUU